GAUGAACGCUGGCGGCGUGCCUAAUACAUGCAAGUCGAGCGAACAGAUGAGGAGCUUGCUCCUCUGACGUUAGCGGCGGACGGGUGAGUAACACGUGGAUAACCUACCUAUAAGACUGGGAUAACUUCGGGAAACCGGAGCUAAUACCGGAUAAUAUAUUGAACCGCAUGGUUCAAUAGUGAAAGACGGUUUUGCUGUCACUUAUAGAUGGAUCCGCGCCGCAUUAGCUAGUUGGUAAGGUAACGGCUUACCAAGGCAACGAUGCGUAGCCGACCUGAGAGGGUGAGCGGCCACACUGGAACUGUGACACGGUCCAGACUCCUACGGGAGGCAGCAGUAGGGAAUCUUCCGCAAUGGGCGAAAGCCUGACGGAGCAACGCCGCGUGAGUGAUGAAGGUCUUCGGAUCGUAAAACUCUGUUAUUAGGGAAGAACAAAUGUGUAAGUAACUAUGCACGUCUUGACGGUACCUAAUCAGAGAGCCACGGCUAACUACGUG
rnacentral:rRNA from 1 species